rnacentral:rRNA from 1 species
AUGAACGCUGGCGGCGUGCCUAAUACAUGCAAGUCGAGCGAACGGACGAGAAGCUUGCUUUUCUGAUGUUAGCGGCGGACGGGUGAGUAACACGUGGAUAACCUACCUAUAAGACUGGGAUAACUUCGGGAAACCGGAGCUAAUACCGGAUAAUAUUUUGAACCGCAUGGUUCAAAAGUGAAAGACGGUCUUGCUGUCCCUUAUAGAUGGAUCCGCGCUGCAUUAGCUAGUUGGUAAGGUAACGGCUUACCAAGGCAACGAUGCAUAGCCGACCUGAGAGGGUGAUCGGCCACACUGGAACUGAGACACGGUCCAGACUCCUACGGGAGGCAGCAGUAGGGAAUCUUCCGCAAUGGGCGAAAGCCUGACGGAGCAACGCCGCGUGAGUGAUGAAGGUCUUCGGAUCGUAAAACUCUGUUAUUAGGGAAGAACAUAUGUGUAAGUAACUGUGCACAUCUUGACGGUACCUAAUCAGAAAGCCACGGCUAACUACGUG